CAGCAGCCACGGUAAUACGAAGGGUGCAAGCGUUACUCGGAAUUACUGGGCGUAAAGCGUGCGUAGGUGGUGGUUUAAGUCCGUUGUGAAAGCCCUGGGCUCAACCUGGGAAUUGCAGUGGAUACUGGGUCACUAGAGUGUGGUAGAGGAUAGUGGAAUUUCCGGUGUAGCAGUGAAAUGCGUAGAGAUCGGAAGGAACAUCUGUGGCGAAGGCGACUAUCUGGGCCAACACUGACACUGAGGCACGAAAGCGUGGGGAGCAAACAGGAUUAGAUACCCCUGUAGUCCCUGUCUUUAUACC
rnacentral:rRNA from 1 species